CAGGAAAUAGUUUAAUAAAGAAUUUCAGCUUUGGGUGCUGAUGGUGGGGUUGUUACUUCUUUCCUGA
rnacentral:tRNA from 1 species